rnacentral:rRNA from 1 species
GAUGAACGCUGGCGGCGUGCCUAACACAUGCAAGUCGAGCGAUUUACUUCGGUAAAGAGCGGCGGACGGGUGAGUAACGCGUGGGUAACCUGCCCUGUACACACGGAUAACAUACCGAAAGGUAUGCUAAUACGAGAUAAUAUGCUUUUAUCGCAUGGUAGAAGUAUCAAAGCUUUGCGGUACAGGAUGGACCCGCGUCUGAUUAGCUAGUUGGUAAGGUAACGGCUUACCAAGGCGACGAUCAGUAGCCGACCUGAGAGGGUGAUCGGCCACUAUGGAGCUGAGAAACGGUCCAAACUCCUACGGGAGGCAGGAGUGGGGAAUAUUGCACAAUGGGCGAAAGCCUCAUGCAGCAACGCCGCGUGAGCGAUGAAGGCCUUCGGGUCGUAAAGCUCUGUCCUCAAUGAAGAUAAUGACGGUACUUGAGGAGGAAGCCCCGGCUAACUACGUGCCAGCCGCCGCCGUAA